GACGAACGCUGGCGGCGUGCUUAACACAUGCAAGUCGAACGGUAAGGCCCCUUCGGGGGUCCACGAGUGGCGAACGGGUGAGUAACACGUGAGCAACCUGCCCUUGACUCUGGAAUAACAGUUGGAAACAGCUGCUAAUACUGGAUAUUCAUCGUCUCCUUCCUGGGGGGUGGUGGAAAGCUCCGGCGGUCAGGGAUGGGCUCGCGGCCUAUCAGCUUGUUGGUGAGGUAAUGGCUCACCAAGGCUUCGACGGGUAGCCGGCCUGAGAGGGCGACCGGCCACACUGGGACUGAGAUGCGGCCCAGACUCCUACGGGAGGCAGCAGUGGGGAAUAUUGCACAAUGGGCGCAAGCCUGAUGCAGCAACGCCGCGUGCGGGAUGACGGCCUUCGGGUUGUAAACCGCUUUCAGUAGGGACGAAGGGUGACUGACGGUACCUACAGAAGAAGGACCGGCUAACUACGUG
rnacentral:rRNA from 1 species